rnacentral:lncRNA from 1 species
GAGUAAAAGAUUACAAAAGAUACAAAAGCAGACAAUUUUUAUUUCCUACAGAACAGAACAAUAUCAUAUAGCCAACUCCAUCCCUAACAAUGGUCUUUGCUGUUGGCAUUUGCUUAACCAGUCUUUAGUUCCUGUUUGGCAAACUUUAUAAGGUGCUACACGGCAGAUGAUUUUUCACCAUCUACCAUAAUGUGGAUGAACAAACAAUUUGUAUUUUAUCUUCUGCUUUUGUCAGCUUUUAUGAGCAAGACGAUAUAUGGACAAAGAAAGAAAGGAUCAAAGUCCAAUUUACUUGCAAGAAGAAAUCAUCUCCAGGAUUCCACUUGCUUCAUAGAUCUUAUUUUCAUCGUGGACAGCUCUGAAAGUUCUAAAAUUUUUCUCUUUGACAAACAGAAAGAUUUUGUGGAUAGCUUGAGUGAUAAGCUUUUCCAAUUGACCCCAGUUGGCUCCUUGAAAUAUGACAUCAAACUGGCAGCCCUUCAGUUUAGCAGCUCUGUCCAAAUUGAUCCACCUUUCUCCUCGUGGAAGGAUCUACACACUUUUAAACAGAGGGUGAAGUCUAUGAAUUUCAUUGGGCAAGGUACUUUCUCUUACUAUGCCAUUGCCAAUGCCACGAGGCUCCUUAAGAGAGAAGGGCGUAAAGACAGUGUGAAAGUGGCUUUGCUGAUGACUGAUGGCAUUGACCAUCCGAAGAAUCCAGAUGUUCAGAGUAUUUCUGAAGAUGCCCGAAAUGCAGGAAUAAUAUUUAUCACCAUUGGACUUUCUACUGUGGUCAAUGAAACCAAGCUUCAUUUGAUAUCUGGGAAUUCACCUGGUGAACCUAUUCUACUGUUGAAUGAUUCAACCCUGGUAGAUAAAAUUCAGAAUCGCCUGGAUACCUUAUUUGAAAAGAAGUGUGAACGCAAGAUUUGUGAAUGUGAGAAGGGGGAUCCAGGCGAUCCAGGGCCUCCUGGUACACAUGGAAACCCAGGUAUCAAAGGUGAGCGAGGACCAAAAGGAAACCCGGGUGAUGCUCAAAAAGGGGAACCUGGAGAAAGAGGCCCAGGGGGAAUCCCUGGGUACAAGGGUGAGAAGGGUGAACUCGGAGAAUGUGGCAAACCAGGAGUUAAAGGUGACAAAGGAUCUCCAGGGCCAUAUGGACCAAAGGGUCCCAGAGGACUUCAGGGCGUUACUGGACCUCCAGGGGAUCCAGGCCCAAGGGGGUUUCAAGGCAACAAGGGGGAGCCUGGUCCUCCUGGUCCUUAUGGUCCUCCAGGAGCCCCUGGUAUUGGUCAGCAAGGUAUUAAGGGGGAAAGAGGCCAGGAAGGAAGAACAGGGGCUCCAGGACCGAUUGGUGUUGGUGAGCCAGGCCAGACAGGUCCCCGUGGUCCUGAGGGAGCACCAGGAGAGAGGGGCUUACCAGGAGAAGGAUUUCCAGGGCCAAAGGGUGAAAAAGGUUCUGAAGGACCAGUUGGCCCACAAGGAUUACAAGGCCCAUCAAUCAAAGGGGACAAGGGGGAUCUGGGACCUGUAGGACCCCAAGGACCAAUGGGCAUCCCUGGAAUUGGCAGUCAAGGGGAACAGGGAAUCCAAGGUCCUAUUGGUCCACCUGGUCCACAAGGGCCCCCAGGACAAGGCUUACCUGGUCCCAAGGGAGAAGUAGGCCAGAUAGGACCUACAGGUCCUAGAGGACCAGUGGGAGUUGGAGUACAAGGUCCAAAGGGGGAGCCAGGCUCAACAGGACUCCCAGGACAGCCAGGAGUACCAGGAGAAGAUGGAGCAGCAGGCAAGAAGGGAGAAGCAGGGCUUCCAGGAGCAAGAGGCCCUGAAGGACCACCUGGAAAAGGACAACCUGGUCUCAAGGGGGAUGAAGGAAAGAAAGGGAGCAAAGGAAAUCAAGGACAGAGGGGAUUUCCUGGGCCAGAAGGACCGAAGGGUGAUCCAGGAAUUAUGGGCCCUUUUGGAAUGCCUGGAGCAUCAAUUCCUGGACCACCUGGGCCAAAGGGAGAUAGAGGAGGACCUGGGAUGCCUGGAUUGAAAGGAGAACCUGGAAUUGCUAUCCGAGGACCAAAGGGUGCCCAAGGCCCUCAGGGACCAGUGGGUGCUCCAGGACUCAAAGGCGACGGCUAUCCUGGUGUGGCUGUAAGUGUGGACCUUGCUUUAUUACCACCCCCCUUCUUUUCCUCUUUUCCUUCUUCCUUCCUCCCCUUCCCUUCCUUUCAUCCCUUCCUCCCUUUCUCUCUCCCUUCCUCCCUUCUUUUAUCUUUUUCUCUCUUCCUCUCUUUCUUUUCUUUCUUCUCCCUCCCUUCCUUCCUUUCUCUCUCUCCUUUCCUUCCUUUUCUUUUCUCUCUCUCUUUUUCUUCCUGCACGCAAGAUUUCUCCAAGGUUGAUCUCUUUCCCUUACUGCCAUCUCAGGGCCCACGAGGAUUACCAGGACCUCCUGGACCAAUGGGUUUACGUGGAGUUGGAGACACUGGAGCCAAGGGAGAGCCUGGUGUCAGAGGCCUUCCAGGCCCUUCUGGGCCUCGGGGUAUAGGAAUUCAAGGGCCAAAGGGUGAUACUGGGCAGAAAGGCUUGCCUGGCCCUCCUGGCCCCCCUGGCUAUGGAUUACAAGGAAUCAAAGGGGAGCAAGGACCUCGAGGCUUUCCAGGGUCAAAGGGCAUGACAGGCCUUGGCCUCCCUGGCCAGAAGGGAGAGCAUGGAGAACGGGGCGAUGUGGGAAAGAAAGGUGAUAAAGGGGAAAUUGGAGAUCCCGGAUCUCAAGGAAAACAGGGGUUGCAAGGACCAAAAGGAGACCAAGGGCUUACAAAAGAAGAAAUCAUCAAACUUAUUUUUGAAAUAUGUGGUUGUGGGCGUAAAUGCAAAGAGACUCCGCUAGAGCUACUCUUUGUGAUUGACAGCUCAGAAAGCGUGGGGCUGGAGAAUUUCCAGAUCAUCAAAAACUUCGUGAAGACUCUGACAGACGGGGUUGCUCUGGACCUUGCCACGGCCCGCAUAGGCAUCAUCAACUACAGCCAUAAGGUGGAGGAGGUGGCUCAUCUGACACAGUUCUCCAGCAAGGACGCCCUCAAGCGGGCGGUGGACAACAUGCAGUAUCUGGGGGAAGGCACCUACACGGCCACAGCUCUCCACGCCGCCAACCGCAUGUUUGAAGCCUCCAGGCCGGAGGUGAAGAAGGUGGCCUUGGUCAUCACAGAUGGGCAGACAGAUACCCGGGAUGAAAAGAAUCUGACAGAUGUGGUGAAGAACGCCAGUGAUAUCAAUGUGGAAAUAUUUGUGAUUGGCGUGGUGAAGAAAAAUGACCCCAACUUCGAGAUGUUCCACAAAGAAAUGAAUCUAAUUGCUACCGACCCAGAUAGUGAGCACGUUUAUCAGUUUGAUGACUUCAUUACUCUUCAAGAUACCCUGAAGCAAAAAUUAUUUAAAAAAAGUUGUGAGGAUUUUGAAUCCUACCUCUUCCAAGUUUUGGGUUCACCACUGCUUGAACCUAGAUUUGGGCUAUCAGGGGAAGAACUCAGUGAAUCCACUCCAGAGCCCCGGAAAGAAAUUUCUGAGUAUGUAAGUAACUCUCUUGCUUAA